rnacentral:misc_RNA from 1 species
GUAACAAGGUUUCCGUAGGUGAACCUGCGGAAGGAUCAUUAAUUAUGUUAAAGCGCCUUACCUUAGGGUUUCCUCUGGGGUAAGUGAUUGCUUCUACACUGUGAAAAUUUGGCUGAGAGACUCAGACUGGUCAUGGGUAGACCUAUCUGGGGUUUGAUCGAUGCCACUCCUGGUUUCAGGAGUACCCUUCAUAAUAAACCUAGAAAUUCAGUAUUAUAAAGUUUAAUAAAAAACAACUUUUAACAAUGGAUCUCUUGGUUCUCGCAUCGAUGAAGAACGUAGCAAAGUGCGAUAACUAGUGUGAAUUGCAUAUUCAGUGAAUCAUCGAGUCUUUGAACGCAGCUUGCACUCUAUGGUUUUUCUAUAGAGUACGCCUGCUUCAGUAUCAUCACAAACCCACACAUAACAUUUGUUUAUGUGGUGAUGGGUCGCAUCGCUGUUUUAUUACAGUGAGCACCUAAAAUGUGUGUGAUUUUCUGUCUGGCUUGCUAGGCAGGAAUAUUACGCUGGUCUCAGGAUCUUUUUUUUUGGUUCGCCCAGGAAGUAAAGUACAAGAGUAUAAUCCAGUAACUUUCAAACUAUGAUCUGAAGUCAGGUGGGAUUACCCGCUGAACCUAAGCAUAUC